UAGUGCUUUCCAGCCCUAAGCUCAUGGCUGAUACUGAAUGAAUAACGUCCUGUCCUGAUGAAACUCCUUUUUAAGCUAUGUGAUACUGAAAUGCAUGUUGAUAUUCCUUUCUAUUUGUGGUUUAGUAUCAAUUAGUUCAAUUGUGCUCGAUUGUUGUUCUACCGAGCUAGUUUUACAUCUAUGCCAAUUGUCCACUGUAUCAGUAGUUUAGAUUUUGUAUAACCUUUUUAUUUUGCAAUUAUAACAAAAAAGUGAUCAACAGGGAUCUUUAUGUAUGCAGUGAUGAAUAAUGAAUGCAUUCAACGUGCCUUUCAGAGUUACACUAGUGUGAAGGACUUAAAAUGCUAGCAGUUUAUAGCAAAACUAGUUUCAGGCUUUGUAUUGUUUUAUUUUACAGUAGCUCGUUACUGUAUAUGUAUAUUUGUUGUCUUUUUUUAUUUAUGUGAAAAGUUUGAUUGGCUUUUCCGGGUGUAUGGUGCCACGACAGAAUCCUAGUUGCAAACAGAAGGAACACAAUCUCGUUGGGACUAGUCAUUGCAAUCUUGUUGAUUGAUCUACCGAUUCCAUUAUUGGCCUUCUUUAUUCGUAAAAUAUUAAUAAGAUCUGGUUUUAGCUAUAUAGACUUGCAGUCUACAUGUCUGCCAUAAGAUUGUGGUUCUCUAAAAUCUGAGCAAAAGUGCUGCCUGGUUAAAACAUUGUCCCAUACAUAAUAGUAGAUUAUUUGUUGUCAUUGAUGCAUGAGAUGCUAUUGUUUAUCACCUUUUCAAUGCAUUUCUCUGUUUUGUACAAUAGGUAAACUACCAAUUUUACAUGUAGAUACCAAGAUGGUUGUUCCGUAGAUUCGUACACAAAAAUUGUUUAGGUUGCAGCAAAAUAUAGUAGUUUUAAAGCACCCCAUGUUCCUUUUUGUUUCUCAGCAAUCUGUAUCAUACCUGCUGCUUUCUGAGGUGGUAUCAUUGUUUUCAACCAUGAAAUACUGAGCCUAUCAGUUUCAGCUAGCAUGGCUUGGUAAUAUGAGAUGAUUCAUGCUUAUUGAUUAGAUCGAGCUAAUGAAGGAAAAAGUUAUGUGUUCUUUUUCUUUGACAAAAGAAGAUGGAGUUUCCAUAUUUUAACUGUGGUUAUUAUAGGUUUAAACAAGCGCAUCUGACCAUGGCUAGGAGCUGAGCAGAAGAGAAGUGAGGACACUGAGUUAAAACGAAGUCAUUUUUUUGUUGCAGAUAUUUGUAACAUGUACUACUUUGAUCGUUGCUCUAUGCAUUUGCCCAUGGCUUCAUAACGGAGCAUGCCAAUUUGUUCCUUGUAACUUGCAUUGGUUCUUAUUUUCAGUUUGAUCAUGAUCAUGACAAUGAAAACAAGACUUGAUUUACAUUAAAACACACUUUUUU
rnacentral:lncRNA from 7 species